UACGGAGGGUGCGAGCGUUAUCCGGAUUCACUGGGUUUAAAGGGUGCGUAGGUGGGUCUGUAAGUCCGUGGUGAAAUCUCCGAGCUUAACUUGGAAACUGCCAUGGAUACUAUAGGUCUUGAAUACUGUGGAGGUCAGCGGAAUAUGUCAUGUAGCGGUGAAAUGCUUAGAUAUGACAUAGAACACCAAUUGCGAAGGCAGCUGGCUACACAAAUAUUGACACUGAGGCACGAAAGCGUGGGGAUCAAACAGG
rnacentral:rRNA from 1 species